CGUGCGCGCUACCCGCGGCGUGCCGUUCCUUCGCAGCUGCUGGUGUUGCUCCGUGGCGUGCUGUGUUGGCUGUGUGAGAGGCGGGGCUCCUUUUCCUGAGGCCGCGUCUAAUUCUCCACGGUGCUCGCAGAGGAAUCCACGUAUCUUAACCGCCUUGGGCUUCGUGCUUCUCUAGUUUGACAAUAAUUAACUCUCUGAGUCAGAGUUACCGCAAAUUGACUCAGCAGCGCCUGGGAGGUUUGCCCUAGGCUCAACUAGGCCAGUCCCCUACCAGGUUCCUGGUGAUUUCGGGUCCCUGGGAUACAGACUCUGAGGCAGAGACUGGUGUGCACAGAGUUUACUGGGGAGCACCCUUGGGAUCAGCAAUUGUGACAACAUGAAGGAGGGAGAAUCAGACAGAAAGGAGAUGCUGAAGUGCAGUUGGUAGUGCACUGUUGGCUCUCACAGGACAGUAGGAGCCAGAUUUAGCAAACCACUGACCACGAUCAUUUACAACAAAGGCCUCAGCCCAUCCCUUAAGGAGCUUUAAUGUUGGAAUGGCCCUUUAGAGUAGUCCAAAUUGAGGGAGGGAUCUCUGUAUUCUGAACAUGGACCAGUCAUUGGAUGCAAGUGAACCUUGGGGAGAGGUUUGAACUUGGAAGAGGGAGAUUUCUUUGGCCAGAGGAAAUUCCCAGAGGAACACUCAAUGCUUGCUUCAGUCCUGAAGUGGAUAUCUGGGGAGCACACCACAGCAUCUACUACUGUGAUCUUGUAAGUUUGGUCUUGGUUUCUGCUUUGGGACAACAUUUUUUUCUGGUCUGUUUUCAUCUGUCAAAAUGUGAUUAUUUCUUUGUGUGUUUUUUUCCUUAUUAUAACUUUGUAUGGCACUGAAUUUUUGUUGAUGUUAUUCAUGUUUGAAUAUAUUGGAUUUUUCUGGGUCAACUUUUAACAGAUGAAUCUUUUAGAGAGAAUAGAGACAGUUUUUAAGGGCCCUUCCUGGUUUUUCAGCUCAAGUGCUCCCUCUUCUGUUGUUAUAGUGAAGAGCAC